CCCUUAGAUGUCCUGGGCCGCACGCGCGUUACACUGAUGCAUUCAACGAGCUUAUAACCUUGGCCGAGAGGCCUGGGCAAUCUUGUUAACGUGCAUCGUGAUAGGGAUAGAUUAUUGAAAUUAUUAAUCUUGAACGAGGAAUUCCUAGUAAACGCAGAUCAUCAAUCUGUAUUGAUUACGUCCCUGCCCUUUGUACACACCGCCCGUCGCACCUACCGAUUGGAUGGUCCGGUGAAGCCUCGGGAUUGUGGUUCUUGCCGCUUUAUUGUGGCGUGACCGCGAGAACUUGUCUAAACCUUAUCAUCUAGAGGAAGGUGAAGUCGUAACA
rnacentral:rRNA from 1 species